UACGUAGGGCGCAAGCGUUGUCCGGAAUUAUUGGGCGUAAAGAGCUCGUAGGCGGCUUGUCGCGUCGGUUGUGAAAGCCCGGGGCUUAACCCCGGGUCUGCAGUCGAUACGGGCAGGCUAGAGUUCGGUAGGGGAGAUCGGAAUUCCUGGUGUAGCGGUGAAAUGCGCAGAUAUCAGGAAGAACACCCGUGGCUAAGGCGGCUCUCUAGUACGGUACUGACGCUGAGACGCGAAAGCGUGGGGAGCGAACAGG
rnacentral:rRNA from 1 species